CUAGAAGAAGAUGCAGGAAUAAACCUAGAGAAGCGCUGGAGAAUCUGUUUCCUGCUCACUCUGAUACGUGUUUUCCCUAUGGGUUUUGAUGACUAGAACUGCUCUGCUGGAGAGAAACGGUGAACUCUGGAGUUGAACAUGAUUGACGUGUAUGGAUGUUGCCCCUUACCACCACACCGGACCUCACCACUUUCCUGCGUGUCUCCAGAACAGGUGGGGGCUUGAGAUAAUCAGCUCCCCACAUCUAGGACACGGGCUUCUCCUUGCCAGAUCUACGAAGCACCAACACACUGCAGUGGAGUCCGUGCUGGUCCCGCUCCAGGUACCGAGCAUCAGAAUUUAAAGGGAUUGCGUGAGGAGACCUCAGAAGAUUUGUUCAGCAUUAGUUUCCGAUGAUUGGAACUCAGAUAAGAAAGGCUAAGACCCAGCUCUUAAAAAUAAGCCAACCAGUCAACCAGGCACUGUGCUCUGUAAAGUAUUGGUAGCAUUACGUUAUGGGAGGAAACAGUGGCAGGCAGGGGUGAAGAGGGACAAAGAGGGUAAAGUGUAACAAGAGUAGACAUGGGUUCCAAUUCUAAUUCUGCCUUUUCCGAACUGAGCUACCUUAGGGAAGCCACCGAGCUUCUCCCUGCAUCAAUCUAAUUUGCCAAAUGGCGAUACUGAGAUGUGACUGGCCGGGUUCUCUGGGAACGUAAAUGAGAAGGUGUUUGUAAAUGUCGGGCACGUCUUCAUUUCCAGCCUCCUCCCAGUAGGAAGUCAUUCCUGUG
rnacentral:lncRNA from 1 species